GAUGAACGCUGGCGGCGUGCCUAAUACAUGCAAGUCGAGCGAACAGACGAGGAGCUUGCUCCUCUGACGUUAGCGGCGGACGGGUGAGUAACACGUGGAUAACCUACCUAUAAGACUGGGAUAACUUCGGGAAACCGGAGCUAAUACCGGAUAAUAUAUUGAACCGCAUGGUUCAAUAGUGAAAGACGGUUUUGCUGUCACUUAUAGAUGGAUCCGCGCCGCAUUAGCUAGUUGGUAAGGUAACGGCUUACCAAGGCGACGAUUCGUAGCCGACCUGAGAGGGUGAUCGGCCACACUGGAACUGAGAAACGGUCAAGACUCCUACGGGAGGCAGCAGUAGGGAAUCUUCCGAAAUGGGCGAAAGCCUGACGAAGCAACGCCGCGUGAUGGAUGAAGGUCUUCGGAUCGUAAAACUCUGUUAUUAGGGAAGAACAAAUGUGUAAGUAACUAUGCACGUCUUGACGGUACCUAAUCAGAAAGCCACGGCUAACUACGUG
rnacentral:rRNA from 1 species